UCCAGCGUGGCUUAGUGGUUUGAGUGUUGGACUACAACUCUGAAGACCAGGGUUCGAUUCCCUGCUCAGCCA
rnacentral:tRNA from 1 species